UACGGGGGGGGGCAAGCGUUGUUCGGAAUUACUGGGCGUAAAGGGCUCGUAGGCGGCCAACUAAGUCAGACGUGAAAUCCCUAGGCUCAACCUAGGAACUGUGUCUGAUACUGGAUGGCUUGAAUCCGGGAGAGGGAUGCAGAAUUCCAGGUGUAGCGGUGAAAUGCGUAGAUAUCUGGAGGAAUACCGGUGGCGAAGGCGGCAUCCUGGACCGGCAUUGACGCUGAGGAGCGAAAGCUAGGGGAGCAAACGGG
rnacentral:rRNA from 1 species